AUUUGUACUUCUCAAUUACUAUGGUCAAAUCAAUUAUUGAGACUCGUGGCAAGGAUGUGCACAUGGAAAUCUCGUUUGUGUAAUUGAUCUAACACUCCUGUUCUUCUAAAAGUGUGCUUCAAGACCGGGGGAGUAGGAUUGGAAGAAAGCCAAGUAGAGCUGACUGGUAGGUUGCUCUCGCUCUGCUUGUUAUAUGAAGGGACA
rnacentral:lncRNA from 1 species